AUAGACACAGGGAAGAGGCACAUGUGGGGACUCCCAAUGGACAGCAGCGAGGGAAACUCCAAGGAGGGCUUCAAAAUUGGAUGAAGAGGGGAUGGAGGUUGCUGUGUGUCGCCAUGGGUUCCUUUUGAAAGCCCUUAAUAUGUACAGGGGAGAGAUAUUAGCCUACUCUCUGUACCUUCAAAAGGACAAUUCUUCGCAAUGGACUUGGCACACAAAUACUGGCCAUACCUGGAGAAAGUUGCUAGUGUCCUUCCUGCUCUUCAGGAGCUGACCACUAUGAAACCCUUUCUCAGUGUAAUGCAUGCUCGAACCCAUGCUACUAAAUGUGAGAUUAAUUGGAGUGGCAGGAACCAGGAAGGAGCAGGGACAACCGCCGAAGAGGAGGUGGAGCAAGUUACCUUUCACGUUGUGCCCUAACGACCAAAUACAUGUCCAAAGCAGCACGGGUGGACAUGCUUACAUUGCAUGCAAUGGGGUGGAACGAGAAAAAAAAUCUCUCUUUACAUUGGGCACUUUCCACAAGAUAUGUGAAGACUUGUCAGAGACUCCAUGAUGAGACUGCAAGGAUAGCUGACCUAAAAACAGCUAGAUUGCACAGAUGAAUUGGUAUCACAGUGGCUAUCUGAUGUAAAGGAAUGGGCAGCUGGUGAGACACCUGGUACAUCUCGUGCCAGUCAAGGCACAACACACAGAGGAAUUCAGCAAUCAAUUGAGGAGCUGUACCUUAGUGUGAGGCACCGGAAGCGAACCCUCUACCGUCAGAAUGACAGCAGCAAGUUUCGCAUUCGCCUUCGAAGGAAGCUAGCGAUAGAUAUCUUCAGGAGAUACAGAAAUACAAUGAUCUUGUACUAGAAUCGGCAACAACCAUUGACAUAGCUGUGGUGGAGCAUUCCCUAACUGGAGAGAGUACUGUGUCUCAAAUAUGGCCGUGGGAGGUUCAUGGCAGUGAUAUGUCUGUUUUUAGAUGCUUCACAGGAAUUUAUUUUCAGUUCUGCUUUAUAGAGUAUACUGAACUAAGGCAUGCAUGUUACAUAUUGAGUGUUGUAAUAUUAAUUUAGUUUAAUUGCUGUAUUUUCAGUUUCCUUAUGUAUCAAUUUGAUAAAAAAGUAAAUGUUUGUAGUGAUUAUGCAAGAUUGUCUCAUGUAUACAUAUAACUGUUAUUGAUUCUUAGCAAACAUUUCAAUCAAGAAACAAGUGCACGACCAAGUGAUGUAAACGAGGUGACUGUAUGAAGAAACAAGAGUUUUGGUUUUUGAGAUGGCACAACACUGCACGUGGUUGCAGAGCCUGGUAAUGGUUCUCAAGAACAAGUUGGCUAAGGAGGGUAAGUUUAAUUAAAACCCUGUCCAUGUAAUGUUAAAAAAACACAUCAGUCACAGAACUUGGAUGGAGUAGAACGGUUAUUGCUCUCUUUGCCGAGGUCCUUUAGCAUGUACAUAAAAUAGGGAUUAAAGUUGUAACUGUAGCUAUGGUAACAAGUCAGUGCCAAUCAUCCUGCUAUGUAGAUUUGAAUAGGUAAUAUCUUUUUACUCAAUUUAAGUUCUUUGGCCUUAUGAAACAAUCUUAUUAUAGUUCUCCUCUGACCUCUAGCAUCAACAAGGCAUUUUCGCCCCCAAAGGACUGCCGUAUACUGGAUAUUUUUCCCUUUUCACACCAUUCUUUGUAAACCCUAGAAAUGGUUGUGCGUGAAAAUCCCAGUAACUGAGCAGAUUGUGAAAUACUCAGACUGGCCCGUCUGGCACCAACAACCAUUCCACGCUC